rnacentral:rRNA from 1 species
UACGAAGGGGGGCUAGCGUUGCUCGGAAUCACUGGGCGUAAAGGGCGCGUAGGUGGCCUGCUAAGCGUGCGGUGAAAGUCGGGGGCUCAACCCCCGAUCGGCCGUGCGAACUGGGAGGCUUGAGCACUGUAGAGGCAGGCGGAAUUCCGGGUGUAGCGGUGGAAUGCGUAGAGAUCCGGAAGAACACCGGUGGCGAAGGCGGCCUGCUGGGCAGUUUUGCUGACACUGAGGCGCGACGAGCGUGGGGAGCAAACAGGG